UAGGGAAUCUUCCACAAUGGACGAAAGUCUGAUGGAGCAACGCCGCGUGAGCGAAGAAGGUUUUCGGAUCGUAAAGCUCUGUUGUGAGGGAAGAACAAGUACGGGAGUAACUGUCCGUACCUUGACGGUACCUCAUUAGAAAGCCACGGCUAACUACGUGCCAGCAGCCGCGGUAAUACGUAGGUGGCAAGCGUUGUCCGGAAUUAUUGGGCGUAAAGCGCGCGCAGGCGGUCCCUUAAGUCUGAUGUGAAAGCCCACGGCUCAACCGUGGAGGGUCAUUGGAAACUGGGGGACUUGAGUACAGAAGAGGAAAGCGGAAUUCCACGUGUAGCGGUGAAAUGCGUAGAGAUGUGGAGGAACACCAGUGGCGAAGGCGGCUUUCUGGUCUGUAACUGACGCUGAGGCGCGAAAGCGUGGGGAGCAAACAGG
rnacentral:rRNA from 1 species